CUUAGUGUGGUGUAGUGGUUUGAGCACUGGACUACAACUCUGGAGACUAGAGUUCGAAUCUCCUCUCAGC